ensembl:misc_RNA Metazoa_SRP Metazoan signal recognition particle RNA
GCCGGGUGCGGUGGCGCGCGCCUGUAAUCCAAGCUACCGGGAGGCUGAGGCUGGCGGAUCGUUUGAGCUCAGGAGCUCUGAGCUGCAGCGGACUAUGCCGAUCGGGUGUCCGCACUAAGUUCGGUAUCGAUAUGGUGCUCCUGGGGGAGCUCGGGACCACCAGGUCGCCUAAGGAGGGGUGCACCGGCCCAGGUCGGAAACGGAGCAGGUCAAAGCCCCCGUGCCGCUCAGUAGUGGGAUCGCGCCUGUGAAUAGACGCUGUAGUGCAGCCUGAGUAAUACAGCGGGACCCAGUCUUU